rnacentral:rRNA from 1 species
GACGAACGCUGGCGGCGUGCUUAACACAUGCAAGUCGAACGAAAAAUCAUUGAAAGCUUGCUGAUAUGAUUUUUAGUGGCGGACGGGUGAGUAACGCGUGAGGACUUGUCUUAUACAGGGGGACAACAGUUGGAAACGGCUGCUAAUACCCCAUAAGCCUUCGGGUAAAAGGAGCAAUCCGGUAUUCGAGAGACUCGCGUCCUAUCAGCUAGUAGGUGAGGUAACGGCUCACCUAGGCGAAGACGGGUAGCCGGCCUGAGAGGGCGAACGGCCACACUGGAACUGAGACACGGUCCAGACUCCUACGGGAGGCAGCAGUGGGGAAUAUUGGGCAAUGGGGGCAACCCUGACCCAGCGACGCCGCGUGAGUGAAGAAAUCCCUCGGGACGUAAAGCUCUGUUGUGUGGGAAGAUAAUGACGGUACCACACGAGGAAGCCCUGGCAAACUACGUGCCAGCAGCCGCGGUAA